GCGGCCGCUGCCAGGCAGAGUUCACCGCCUUGGAGGAUUUUGUUCAGCACAAGAUUCAGAAGGCCUGCCAGCGGGCCCCUCCGGAGGCCCUGCCUGCCACCCCUGCCACCACAGCGUUGCUGGGCCAGGAGGUGGUGCCGGCAGCACCAGGCCCAGAGGAGCCCAUCACUGUGGCCCACAUCGUGGUGGAGGCGGCCUCCCUGGCAGCAGACAUCAGCCACGCAUCUGACCUCGUUGGUAAGCCGACUUCCAUGAAUCGCUGGCCUGAUAGACCUUCGUGGUUGGGGCCAGAGGAUGGGGCCUCUGCUGCUUGUAUGCUCGUCUCUCCCGAGACCAGGGCCUGGCUGGGAGGGGCCGUGGCCUCAUGGCAGCCUUUCUGCGGGCACAGCCUGCAGGAGGAGGAAGCGUUGGGCACUGGGCCUUCCUCAGGUGUCCACAGUGGCCGGGGGCACACCCAGGCACCAGGGAGUCGUUGGGCUGUGCUCUCUCCCCUCAGCUUUCCCGGGUGGUCUCUGCUGUGUCCCUCCCAGAAUCUUCCCCACUUCCCUACCACCCCCUGGUUCCUGCUCCCUGCCCGUAGGCAGCAACAUCCACCAGGUACCCACCAGAAUGGCCCACUCGCCCAGCAGUGGCUCUGGAGGGUGGGUACAGGGUGGACGGGACUCUCCCGCCUCUCUAGCUGGGCUCGGACUUGCUGCUGGCCGUGGCCUGCCCUCCCCAGUGCUCCCUCUGGUGUGGGAGUGGUGAUUGCUACACUGGUCCUCAUGGGGCUUUUAUGAGCGUGCAGUGCCAGGCCUCUUUGAUGGCUACUUUUUAAGUGAAGAUGUCUCUCCCUGAUGUGCUGUGGGAGGGGCUGUUGCGAGGUCUGGAUGGGCAAGCUCUCACUGGGGACAGAUGCUUGUGCAGGGGGGCAUUCAGAGGCAGCCAGGGCCUGGGCAGGUUGAGGGAGCUAGGGGCUGCUGGGGUUGGGGGUGCGGCAGGGGCGAGUGGCUAGGUGUGCAGACGCGAGGGAAGGAGCUGUCUAGGGACCUGAUGCUGUGGGAGGUGGGGCGGGACAUGGCUGCUGCCUGGGGAGCCUGCUGGACCGGGGCUGAGGCAGGCGGGGAGUGGGCAGCUGGACAGGAAGUAGGUUUGGGCACCAGGCGGAACCUGGCCUUGGGCAGCCCUGGGGACUGGCUGCAGCAGGAAGAGGGGGUGGAGGAGCCGUGGCGGAGGCCAACCCGGGGCCUGGGAAGGGCACCUGUGAGCAGGCUGCUCUCCAGGAGGCAGCCAGGGCACCUGUCUCACCUCCGUGCUGCCUUUCCCUGGCAUUCCUGCGACCAAGACACUCAUCAAUGCCACUCAGAGCUCGGAAUGUUCAUGUGGGAGGUGGGGCGGGCUCUGGCCUUGACCUGGCGUUUGGUUUCUGGGAUGGUGGCGUCACCUGGGAGCAUGAACUCCUUAGGUUCUGGCGGGGUCUCUGGGCUGGGUCUCUGGCCAGCCAGGCCCCUUUCCACCCACCUAAACUCUAGCAGCCCCCAGCCCUAGGCUCAGCACCCCUCCCUGUGCUUCAGCAGCCCCUCUUGGCACCCCUGCCACUCUGGCACCCCUGGGAUUUUCCCCUUUGCGGGCAUCCUGGGUACUCUGUGUGUGCCCUUGGCCAGUCAGCAGGCCCGGUGGGCUUAGUCCAGGGCUGCUAGCUCUCCUGUUGGCCUCUAGUGGAGAUGGCACAGGGUCCUGCCUGCUGGUGGCCAAGGGCUGGGGCGUGCCAGGUCCUGUCUUUGCGGGUGCAGGGGUGCGGUCAGCUGUGUGGGCAGUUGGAACCCACCUCCAGGCCCUCCUGCCGCUUCGCGGAAAAAAUUCGCGUCUCCUCUGGCCUCGCAGCAGCCAUGUUCCCCCAGGUCCUCCCUAUCAGAGGCCUCUGUCCUUUGGAAGAUCACUCCUGGGGCAUCGAGCGUGUAAGGGCUCGGGCAGGAGAGGCUCUUAAUUGUUUCUGAGUCACCGCGCUUUUGUUGUGUUUCAAGAGAACAGCUUGUCAAAAGAAGACGCCAGCCGGACUGAGGUGGUUUCUAAGCAGUGGCUUCACAGCUGUUUCCCACUUGUCAUCUUUAUGAGCAGAAAACCUGAACUGUUUUACAACCUAGCUUUGCACAUUGUCAGAUUUUUCCCAGCAUCCUCCAGAAGUGCAAAAGCCCGGCUUCCUCGCCUCAGGCUGUCCCGGGUGUCUGGAGAGCGUUCACUCUCCCAGGCCAAGCCUGCCUUGGGACGGGGCUCUGGUCAGGCCUGCCUGCCCUGCUGCAGUGGCCCAGCCCAUCUCCUCCGACGGAAGAGUGGCCCCGGACGCACAUCCUCCCUAUGUUGGUGGGAGCAGUGGCAGGAGCAGUGGCAGCGAGCAGGACAGGCGGCUGUCUCUUCACCCAGGGACCUUGUCACCAGGAUUCGCACGUCCUCCUGGCUUUGGGGAUGGGGCAUCUGUGCUCCAUAGUGGGUCUCCCUGUGGACACAUUUAGGGGCCCUGGAGCAUCUCUGGGCAGCCUGACAGAGUCGGGAGGUGUCUCUCCACCUCUCACUCUGACCUGGAGAGGUGAAUGGGACCUUGGCUGUUGCUCGGGCCUGUGUGUUGAGGGCUCAGUGCAGGUUGGGUCCAGGGUGUGGCUCAGAGCAGCAGGUCCCCUCCCCUGGAGCCAGCAGUCUCUGGGGUCUCUGGACAGGGGCAGGUCCUGGGGCUUAGGCCCAGAUGCUUCUCCUAGGUGGUGGGCACAUCAAAGAGGUCAUCGUGGCUGCUGAGGCGGAGCUGGGAGACGGUGAGAUGGCCGAGGCCCCGGGCAGCCCCCACCAGCAGGGGCUGGGGCUCUCAGGGGAGGGCGAGCAGGCCCAGGUGAAGCUACUGGUGAACAAGGAUGGCCGCUAUGUGUGUGCGCUGUGCCACAAGACCUUCAAGACGGGCAGCAUCCUCAAGGCCCACAUGGUCACUCACAGCAGCCGCAAGGACCACGAGUGCAAGCUCUGUGGGGCCUCCUUCCGCACCAAGGGCUCACUCAUCCGGCACCACCGGCGGCACACGGAUGAGCGCCCCUACAAGUGCUCCAAGUGUGGAAAGAGCUUCCGGGAGUCGGGUGCACUGACCCGGCACCUCAAGUCUCUCACGCCCUGCACAGAGAAAAUCCGCUUCAGUGUGAGCAAGGACGUGGUUGUCAGCAAAGAGGACGCACCUGCAGGUUCUGGAGCUGGAGCUGCUGGCUUGGGGACAGUCCCAUCAUCGGUGACAGGCGAGCCUAUAGAGACUUCACCCGUGAUUCACCUGGUGACAGAUGCCAAGGGCACCGUCAUCCACGAAGUCCACGUCCAGAUGCAGGAGCUGCCCCUGGGCAUGAAAGCCCUGGCCCCAGAGGUGGGGGCGACGGGGGGCCCCAGAGGGCUGCUCUGUCUUCUGCCUGCUCGGUGCCAGUCUUUGUUCUGGGCACUGGCUCCAGGGGUCUGGGCCAGGCAGGCGAGGGCUGGGCUUCCCACAGGGAGAGCAGGGCCAGUGGGAGCGCCAUGGGGGUCUGAGGGUUUGCACAAGGCUCCUGGCAUGCGUCUGCCCCAUGGGGUGGGUGCUGGAUGCCAGGCUGCCUGGCCAGCCUCCUCUCUCUGCCUCCCCUGCAGCCCCCCGUCUCCCAGGAGCUCCCCUGCUCCAGCGAGGGCAGCCGUGAGAACCUGCUGCACCAGGCCAUGCAGAACUCCGGCAUCGUCCUUGAGCGCGCUGCUGGGGAGGAGGGUGCCCUGGAGCCAGCUCCUGCUGCCGGAUCCAGUCCCCAGCCCCUGGCAGAGGCAGCCCCGCAGCUGCCGGUACUGGAAGAAGUGCAGCCGCUGGAGACAGUAGGUGCCAGCACCACCUGCGGGCUCCUCCCAGGGCUGGAUCCCAGGGGCUGUCCCCACGCUGGCCUUCGCCUCCCUGAAGUGGCUUUCUGCAGUGACUUUGUCCAUUGAUCUGUUUACUGCCUUCCCUGAGGCCACAAGGGAGCCUGCCAGGGUGGGGCCCAUGGUUGUGUUCUUGGUACUGCCAGGGCACAGCCUGCCCCGGGUGCUGGAGACCUUCCUGUGGUUCCCCAGCAGGUGGCCAGCGAGGCCUCAGCGGUGCCCAGGACCCACCCAUGUCCUCAGUGCAGUGAGACCUUCCCGACAGCAGCCACCCUGGAGGCCCACAAGAGGGGCCACACCGGUAGGUGAUGGGUGGGUGUGUGGCCCAUGGCAGUGGAUGGGCUAUAGGUGGCCGGGGUGCCUCUGGGUGUCCAGGGUGGGUCCAUAGACAGCAGGGAGCCAGGGGAACUGUGGGCAGGUGGCAGGCAGCCUGGCGGGCCCGUGGGUGAUGGGCUUGGCCCGAUGCUGUGUGUGGCUGCAGGGCCAAGGCCGUUCGCCUGCGCACAGUGUGGCAAGGCCUUCCCCAAGGCCUACCUGCUCAAGAAGCACCAGGAGGUGCACGUGCGUGAGCGCCGCUUCCGCUGUGGCGACUGCGGGAAGCUCUACAAGACCAUUGCCCACGUGCGCGGCCACCGGCGCGUCCACUCAGACGAGCGGCCCUACCCUUGUCCCGAGUGUGGCAAGCGCUACAAGACUAAGGUGGGUCUCUGGCCGCAGGACCCUGGCGCCUGAUCCCCCCAUCCUGCUCCCUGGCCGUGGCCCAGGUGCACCCCCUUCCCUGCCUCCACCGUGCUCAGUCUUGACCCAGCCCCUCCCUUGGGCCAGAAGCGGGAGGGGAGAGCUGUAGUCUGUUGUGGCCAAGGCCAGGCUGGCACUGACAGGUGUCUCCACAGAACGCACAGCAGGUGCACUUCAGGACACACCUGGAGGAGAAGCCGCACGUGUGCCAGUUCUGCAGCCGUGGCUUCCGAGAGAAGGGCUCACUGGUGCGGCACGUGCGACACCACACAGGCGAGAAGCCGUUCAAGUGCUACAAGUGCGGCCGUGGCUUCGCCGAGCACGGCACGCUGAACCGGCACCUGCGCACCAAAGGUCUGGGCCGGUGGAGGUGGGAGGGGGAGGGGAGGGGAGGGGGCCGGGGCUCGCCAAGCCCUGACCGAGUCCCCACCCACAGGGGGCUGCCUGCUGGAGGUGGAGGAGUUGCUGGUGUCUGAGGACAGCCCCGCGGCAGCCACCACCGUCCUCACGGAAGACCCGCACACAGUGUUGGUGGAGUUCUCGUCCGUGGUAGCUGACACCCAGGAGUAUAUCAUCGAGGUGGGUGUGGGGCCCUGGGGCCGUGCUGGGACCCAGGGGCAGCCAAGGCUGACCUCUGUCCUUCUGCCCAUCUGCCCAGGCCACUGCGGACGAUGCGGAGACCAGUGAGGCCACGGAGAUCAUCGAGGGCACCCAGACGGAGGUGAGGGGUGGGGCAGGCGGGGGCGGGGAGGCUCCCUGGCACAGCCGCUCUCGCUGAGCCGUGGCCCUGCAGGUGGACAGCCACAUCAUGAAGGUGGUGCAGCAGAUCGUGCACCAGGCUAGCGCCGGCCACCAGAUCAUCGUGCAGAACGUUACCAUGGACGAGGAGACGGCGCUGGGCCCAGAGGCGGCUGCCGCCGACACCAUCACCAUCGCCACCCCCGAGAGCCUGACAGAGCAGGUGGCCAUGACGCUGGCCUCGGCCAUCAGCGAGGGCACUGUGCUUGCCGCCCGGGCAGGGACAAGUGGCACUGAACAGGCCACUGUGACCAUGGUGUCAUCAGAGGACAUCGAGAUCCUGGAGCAUGCAGGCGAGCUGGUCAUCGCCUCGCCAGAGGGCCAGCUGGAGGUGCAGACGGUCAUCGUCUAGCAUGAGGUCUGCGGGGUCCUGGCCGGGCAGGGACAGGGCAGAGGACUCUGAGCGCCCCACCCAUGCCUGCCUGGCCUGGUAGAGAAGAUGGCACAGAAUGGAGGCGCCCCAAGACGGACAGUGUACAUAAGAGUUUCUUGUUGCUUUACAAUAAAACAUGAGAACCUGC
rnacentral:sRNA from 1 species